rnacentral:lncRNA from 1 species
GAGGGAGAAGCAGGCCCCAUGCAGGGAGGCCAAUGCAGAACUCUAUCCGGGAACUCCAGGAUCACGCCCUGAGCCAAAGGCAGGCGCUAAACCGCUGGGCCACCCAGGGGUCCUCUCUAAUUUCUAAUUAUAUAGUGAUACUCAUUUUACUUAUUUUGAAAUCUAUUAUAGAUGAUAUUAUAUUUUACUGCAAGCUCUAGACAUUUUAUACAAAAAUUUUAUAUUUUUAAGAUUAUUAAAUAUCUGCCUUAUAUUUAGAAAUAAAAAGAAAGAAUGUAAUUGAGAUUAUUAGAGAAAUAAGCUAUAUGUGGGUUAGAGUAUCUAUUUGUAUUGUUUUAAAAUGAUAACUACACAUUCAUUUUUUGGGAAACAGAUUUAGGAAGGAUUUGAACAGAAACUGUGAGUACAAUUGAAAAGGAUUUGUUGGUUUAAGUUCUUACAAUACCACUGAAAUGGUACAUUAUAUUGUCACUAAUAAUUUUGGAUUUAUUACUUAAACUUUCACACUUUGAAGAUAAGAACAUUGAGGACCAGAGUGAAACCCAGAAUAGAUGAGUAACUUAUCCAUUGUCAUAUAGUUAGAUUAUUAUCUAUUUUAAUGACAGAAAAAACAUAAAGACAUAUAAAAUACAUACACUGCUAUGAAAUAUAUUUCCAAAUCAUAUCUGCAUUACUUUUAGUUAUUGUUCUUAGGGAGAAUCUGUUCUUCCAGUCCUCCCCAUUUAUGUGGAUAAUUAAGAUUCCAUGGUGAUCAGAGGAGAUCAGAUAAUGCAUAAAUGUCAAAUAAUUGAACUAGGUGAAUUAACUACAAAGACUACUAUUUGGUUACCUUUAUAGCUUACUUCACAUGACUCUUGGGUUAGUAAAAACUAUACAAAGUAUAUUUUCAUACAAUUUCUAUAGAAUAUUUUUGAGAAUAAUCUUAAUACAUUUUUCUAAUUCCUAUCUAUUUUUUUAAAUGCGUUAUUUGUAACUUUCACUUCGUGUGUGUUUGUGUGUGUGUGUGUGUGUGUGUGUGUAUGGAGACAGAAUUGACCCAGUUGUAGGUGAUAAUAGUUUAAAAUUGUGAAAUGCAUUUCUAAAACUUCGGGUCAAUGGAUUAAAUUAUUUGUAUUUCCAGUCACGUUAUACAUAUUAAAAAGAUAUAUUUUAAGAAUAAGACAUUUAUGUAUAAAAGGUCAUUUGUAACUCUAGACAUACAACCUACUUUUAAUGUAACUUUUUCAACUAUUUCAUGCUAAUAAAAGGUUUAUUUUGUUUUCAGUCAAAUGUCACAUAUAAACACAAACCACAUCAAUUGUGAUUAUAAAAGCACCUUGGAUCUGAUUUUACAAUGGUUACAAUGGAGCAUAACCUUUAUUAAAGUGGCUCACCUCAGGGGUCCUAUAAUCCCUGAUAUAAAUGCUGAGAUAUGCAAUUACUCAAGCUGGCUAGAGCCAGACCCCUUAGCCAGGUUAGAUGAAUAGGGUGGGGGAAGAAUAAAGAAAUAGAACACAGCCUUAUCCUGUUAUCCAGUUACAAAAUCAAAGAAAUACAUUUUCAAAAACAAAAGUUAGGUACAAUAAUUUUGAGUUCAUGUAAAAAUUCAUAUUUUUUUUAAAAAGCAUGUCUUAGUGAAUAAACAAUGAAUCAGAAGAUAGGACAUUGUUUUGGCUCUGGCCUUAAGUAGUUGUGAAAUCUGGAAAUAAAACUUUCUGGACAUUUUUUUAAAGACAGCAGCAGCAAUUAAGAAUUGACACAGAUUAUAAGACCCCUUGUUGGCUAUGACAUUCUAUCAUUCAAUUAUAUAUCUAUGAAAUAUACAACAUAAACACAUGUACUCUUUAUAUAUGUAUAAACAUAUUUUUAGAGUCAUAUUCAUACCUUUAUCUAAUAAGCAAAUUACUUAACCAGUAUAAGUUUUAUAUAUCAAUUUCAGACAGUACUUAAAUACAACUGCCAUUUUUCGUUAAGACUUGAAUUCUCUCUUAGAACUGCUUUUAGAAUGCAUUUCUCCAACUCUCCUUUGGCCAUGUCAAAUCUUCAUCCUUUAAAAUGGAAAUUCUGUGCAUUACAAUGAAUUCACAAAAUCCAUUUUAUUUAAUAACACUAGAGUACAAACUGAGUAACACUUUCAAAAACAAAACAGAAUAGGUAUCUUGAGCAAUUAUGCUAUCAUUGUAAUAAGUAAAGUCCUUUCCAAUGUGACCAAUUUGAAGGAUAACAUUCAUUUGGAACUACAAGUUUAAGUAUAUCUUUUAUUAAUGCUUAUUUCAAUGGAUAUGCACAUAAGGACAAUGAAGUUUAAUUAAUAUAUAUUAAAUAAAAUGGACAACUGCUUGCUUAUUUUCACAUUUGUAGAGACUGAGUUUUCACUUUUAAUAUCAAUAUGACAGAUUAACAAAAAAAUCGCAUUCUUCAGUUACCUGUCUCAAUUCAAUAUUUCUUGUUUACUGACCAAUGGAAUUUGUGGAUUGAGAAUUUAAAUAUUCAAGGUAUUGAAAUGAAAAACAUUUUAUUAUCAUCUUUAGUAUUAAAAUGAUUUUCCUCCAAGGAGUUAGUACAUUUUGGAAGAGAAAUGAUUGGAGAGAAAUGAGGUAGACAUUUGCCUUGCAUCUCUACUUUCUCUUUCAGGUGUUUAUAUCAGCCAUAUUUAAGAGUGGCAGUUUUAAGCCAACAACUCCAACAACUCAGACACCUGCCACUUUUGUAGAUAUUCAAAAUUGCUCACCUAAGAUAAAAAUAAUC